rnacentral:telomerase_RNA from 1 species
CACAAUUUUAAUAGGUCGGUUAUCAUAACGACUUGUUUUCACCUUACUGUAUAUAAAACAGAUAGAAAGCAAGUAAACCCAAUAACCUGGUGAAUAAUCAUGGAGUGGUUUUCUCUUAGUCAUUUGAGUUUUUCCAUUGCGUAAAGCAUAAAAAACUAGGAAAUGACAGAGACGUCAGAUUUCGUCAAAUUGUUGUGUUAGUCCGGCUUUUUUUU